GGGUGACUGCGUACCUUUUGUAUAAUGGGUCAGCGACUUAUAUUCUGUAGCAAGGUUAACCGCAUAGGGGAGCCGCAGGGAAACCGAGUCUUAACGGGGCGUUAAGUUGCAGGGUAUAGACCCGAAACCCGGUGAUCUAGCCAUGGGCAGGUUGAAGGUUGGGUAACACUAACUGGAGGACCGAACCGACUAAUGUUGAAAAAUUAGCGGAUGACUUGUGGCUGGGGGUGAAAGGCCAAUCAAACCGGGAGAUAGCUGGUUCUCCCCGAAAGCUAUUUAGGUAGCGCCUCGUGAAGUCAUCUUCGGGGGUAGAGCACUGUUUCGGCUAGGGGGUCAUCCCGACUUACCAACCCGAUGCAAACUGCGAAUACCGAAGAAUGUUAUCACGGGAGACACACGGCGGGUGCUAACGUCCGUCGUGAAGAGGGAAACAACCCAGACCGCCAGCUAAGGUCCCCAAGUCAUGGUUAAGUGGGAAACGAAGUGGGAAGGCUCAGACAGCCAGGAUGUUGGCUUAGAAGCAGCCAUCAUUUAAAGAAAGCGUAAUAGCUCACUGGUCGAGUCGGCCUGCGCGGAAGAUGUAACGGGGCUAAACCAUGCACCGAAGCUGCGGCAGCGACACAUCAGUGUCGUUGGGUAGGGGAGCGUUCUGUAAGCCGUUGAAGGUGAACUGUGAGGUUUGCUGGAGGUAUCAGAAGUGCGAAUGCUGACAUAAGUAACGAUAAAGCGGGUGAAAAACCCGCUCGCCGGAAGACCAAGGGUUCCUGUCCAACGUUAAUCGGGGCAGGGUGAGUCGACCCCUAAGGCGAGGCUGAAAAGCGUAGUCGAUGGGCAACAGGUUAAUAUUCCUGUACGGGCACCAAUUGCGAUGGGGGGACGGAGAAGGCUAGGCAAGCCGGGCGACGGUCGUCCCGGUUUAAGUGUGUAGGUGGGCUGACCAGGCAAAUCCGGUUAGCCACAACACUGAGGCACGAUGACGCGGCACUACGGUGCGGAAGUUGCUGAUGCCCCGCUUCCAGGAAAAGCCCCUAAGCUUCAGAUUGGUGUUCAUCGUACCCCAAACCGACACA
rnacentral:rRNA from 1 species